GCUACCAUACAUUUAUCAUAAGAAAGUUCUCUUUUAGGUUGAAAAUGUUUUUUGAAACAUUUUCAACAGCAAAUUAGACAACAAAUUAAACGCUAGUUUCCGCAUUAUCAUUUUGUAUGGGAAAAUUAUUAUAAACACAAUGGAUAAAUCUCAUAAGUUGAAUGAAUCUAUUUCUCCGGAUACUUGAGUAAACAAAUUCAUUUCUGAGAUCAUGACAAGAAUCGAUAAUUACGUUUGCUACCGUAUUAUAUCCACUCAACAACAAAAUUCCCAGAAAUAUUUUUGUCACUUCUGAUUAUACCUUGAUUUGGUAAGUUUAAAUAUAAAGCAUAAUUAGAUGAUUGAUAAACGAAUAUAUGAAUUUUCAUCAAAAAAUAAUUCAAAUAAUUCUCUUGGAGUAAAAUCACGACAACCAAAAACUUUAGGAAAUAUGCCAUGUACACUCCCGUGCAAAAAGUGUCAGAUUCUGCUAGGGGAGGAAGUGGCUGACUCUCCAUCGAGUAUUACGGCAGGCACUAACGUCCGAAGACGCCGCGGAACGAAAUGAACUCGACCGUUGUCCUGGUUAAUGUGGGAGAUAGGUUUUAGAGUGAAUGGGAAGAGACGUUACCAUUUCAUUGAC
rnacentral:lncRNA from 1 species